CCGCCCGUCAAACCACGAAAGUUUAUAAUACCCAAAACCGGUGGCCUAACCGUAAGGAGGGAGCCGUCUAAGGUAGGGUAAAUGAUUGGGGUUAAGUCGUAACAAGGUAUCCCUACGAGAACGUGGGGAUGGAUCACCUCCUUUCUAAGGAGAUUAACUAUAUGCAAACAAAAAACUUUUAAAAAGUUAUCAAAUAUAUAUUCAGUUAUCAAAGAUUAGUUUUUGAUAUUAAAAAUAAGAUGUAAAAGAUCUUUGAAAAGUAGAUAAAAUUCUGUCAAAUUAACAAAUUUAAAAAAUUUAUAUAAAAGGUUAAGGAAGAAAGAGCGCAUAGUGGAUGCCUUGGCACUAAGAGCCGAUGAAGGACGUAACUAACUACGAUAAUCUACGGUUAGCUGUAAGUAAGCAAUGACCCGUAGGAUUCCGAAUGGGGCAACCCAAUGAUUUAAGAUCAUUACACAAUAUGUGAGGGAACGCAGAGAACUGAAAUAUCUAAGUAACUGCAGGAAAAGAAAGUAAAAACGAUUCUACUAGUAGUGACGAGCGAAAGUGGAACAGCCAGUAGCUAUUACAGUUAUAAAAUAAUAAUAUAGAAGAACAUGUUGGGAAACAUGACCAUAGUGAGUGAUAGUCUCGUAUUUGAAAUAUUGUUAUCUGAUGCUACAAAAAGUACGGCGGGACACGAGAAAUCUUGUCGGAACGAAUAAGGAGGACCAUCUCCUAAGGCUAAAUACUACUUAGUGACCGAUAGUGAACCAG
rnacentral:sRNA from 1 species